UAGCCUGGUUCCCGAGGCCUUCCGACGUGCAAGCACGAAGGCCAGGCACUCACUGUCGAAUGGAUUCUUCCACUGAUCAAAAUCCAAUAUGGCGGACUCAAUGAUAAUUUUCCAUACAUAUGGAAAGAAGAAACAUAUGAUAGUGGGUGAAAAAACACCCUCAUAUAUAAUGCUUCAUGAAUAUGCAAAACCAUGCCAACAGUCUACAGACUCCAGAUGGAAAGAGAUGGAGAAAGAAUUUCUAAAGGGGUAUUCAAGGACCCAUCCUCCUCCACACUAAUUCAUAUUGGAAGGAAUUGACAUCCAACUUGAAUAAAGAAUUACAGACUUCCAGAACAGGUGCAUCAUGGAGAUCCUUUUAAAAAGGAGAGGCCAGAUCUUCAGAUGACUUUAUUGAAAAUGAGAAAUUUCUGAGUGGAAGUGACGAAUGUGGCAUGCAUACAAGCAGACAUCAGCAUUCCCUCCCUCUUGUUUGUAUCAGAGGUGAGCUUUUUGAGCAAGACUCAUGGAGGAAGUUUGAGAGUGUCAGUUCUCAGAUCAAAAAGUUAGCUAGCAGUAGGAGGAGUAGCAAUUCAUUCCACAGUAUGACAUGAGAAAUACGUGACUAGAAAGACCUUAAAAAGGAGAUUUGGCAUUGUUUCAUGUGGAGAUUAAAGAACCUUCGAAAUAUAUAACACAGACAUGUUUCAGUUACUUGGGGAUAACACUUAUGAGGAAUUUUGCUAACUUUCAGAUUGGAAUGUGUUGCACAAGAAAUGCUUGAUCACAACCCUCUUCUGUUAAAAACCUUUUCUAUGCAAUUAAUUAGUGUAAAUGAAAUUUAGCUAUUUCAUUAGUAAACAUGUUUUCUGCGCAAGUGUGUGUCUUUGACAUUAAAUGCUAUGAUAUUGU